rnacentral:rRNA from 1 species
UACGAAGGGGGCUAGCGUUGCUCGGAAUCACUGGGCGUAAAGCGCACGUAGGCGGCUUUUUAAGUCAGGGGUGAAAUCCUGGAGCUCAACUCCAGAACUGCCUUUGAUACUGGGAAGCUUGAGUCCGGGAGAGGUGAGUGGAACUCCGAGUGUAGAGGUGAAAUUCGUAGAUAUUCGGAAGAACACCAGUGGCGAAGGCGGCUCACUGGACGACUGUUGACGCUGAGGUGCGAAAGCGUGGGGAGCAAACAGG